AAAUAAUGAAUCUCUCUUUCUCCCAUUUCCUGCAUUGUGGUAUGUGAUUGAGACAGAGACACACAAUGACAAGGUCUAACGAUCAGUAAGCUACAACAUUAAGCUUUCACUUUCACACGUUGGACCCAAUCCAACUGCACACAUAACAUAAUCCAUUCAAUUUUUUUUUCUCUCCUUCGCUUCCGCCAUCGGAUGCCUCGCCGCUGAGCUGGACCGUUGAGUUUCCGAGAGAUCUUCGCCUCGGUUGCAUGCAUUCCUUGCGGCAGUGAUGAGAGGGAGCUGUUGCGGUUCGAACCGUCGGUAGAGCAGCGGUUCCCUUUACUCACGAUCUCCACUAUUAAAUCAGUCAAGAUCAAACUUCUCCUCUUUUGCUACGAUGCCCUCACGAUUCUCGCCUUCUCUACGAGUACUUCUUCCUUCGUCGUAUGGAACAACCAAACGCCUCUUUUUCUUCUUUUCAUCAUUUUCAUUUGACUCCUCAGGGUUUUCUUCUUCAGGCUUCUUAUGAUUCUGUCAAAGUCAUAUUUCC
rnacentral:lncRNA from 1 species